ACCCUGGCGGGCAGAGCCACCGCAAAGUGGCCCGCUCAGGCCCGCCCGGGGCUCUGGGAAGGGCUGGGGAGCCCCUGCAGAAUGCCGAAAGCGAAACUACAGCAGAAGCCACCAGAGGCUGGCAGACACUCUAACCCUUCCUCCCCCCGGAAAAGGCUGAAUCUCCUCACUCUAACUGGUAGGAAGGGGAAUUUCGUGCUCCUCUCUCCACAGCGUGCUCCUCCGCACCGCCCUGCCCAUUGCUUGCUGAUGUCCCUGCUGUGUGGAUCCUGGCAGGUCCCAACCCUUCUCUGAACUUCAGUUUCCUCAUCUCAAGAAUAAUGACCACUACAGUAACAGCAGGUGUGCGGCCGGGACCGCCAGGACCGCACCCAUCCUCAAAAGGCGCUGGCGAGAUGGAGUUUCACUGUUGUUGCCCAGGCUGGAGUGCAGCGGUGUGACCUCAGCUCACUGCAACCUCCACCUCCUGAGUCCAAGCAAUUCUCUUGCCCCAGCCUCCCAAGUAGCUGGGAUUACAGGCGUGUGCUACCACGCCUGGCUAAUUUUGUACUUUUUUUUUUUUUUUUAACUAGAGAUGGGGUUUCACCACCUUGGUCAGGCUGGUCUCGAACUCCUGACCUCAGAUGAUCUGCCUGCUUCGGCCUCCCAAAGUGCUGCGAUUACAAGCGUGAGCCACUGCGCCCGGCCUGAUUGAA